GACGAACGCUGGCGGCGUGCUUAACACAUGCAAGUCGAACGGUAAGGCCCUUCGGGGUACACGAGUGGCGAACGGGUGAGUAACACGUGGGUGAUCUGCCCUGCACUUCGGGAUAAGCCUGGGAAACUGGGUCUAAUACCGGAUAGGACCACUGCCUGCAUGGGUGGUGGUGGAAAGCUUUUGCGGUGUGGGAUGGGCCCGCGGCCUAUCAGCUUGUUGGUGGGGUGAUGGCCUACCAAGGCGACGACGGGUAGCCGGCCUGAGAGGGUGACCGGCCACACUGGGAGUGAAAUACGGCCCAGACUCCUACGGGAGGCAGCAGUGGGGAAUAUUGCACAAUGGGCGCAAGCCUGAUGCAGCGACGCCGCGUGAGGGAUGACGGCCUUCGGGUUGUAAACCUCUUUCAGCACCGACGAAGCGCAAGUGACGGUAGGUGCAGAAGAAGGACCGGCCAACUACGUGCCAGCAGCCGCCGUAA
rnacentral:rRNA from 1 species